CCUACGGGUGGCAGCAGUGAGGAAUAUUGGUCAAUGGCCGCAGGGCUGAACCAGCCAAGUCGCGUGAGGGAUGACGGUCCUAUGGAUUGUAAACCUCUUUUGUCAGGGAGCAAAGGGCGCCACGUGUGGCGUUUUGAGAGUAACCGAAGAAAAAGCAUCGGCUAACUCCGUGCCAGCAGCCGCGGUCAUACGGAGGAUUCGAGCGUUAGCCGGUUUUAGUGGGUUUAAGGGGUGCGCAGGCGGAAUGUCAAGUCCGUGGUAAAAUUUCGGGGCUCAACCCCGUCGUGCCGUUGAAACUGGCGUUCUUGAGUGCGCGAGAAGUAUGCGGAAUGCGUGGUGUAGCGGUGAAAUGCAUAGAUAUCACGCAGAACUCCGAUUGCGAAGGCAGCAUACCGGCGCUCAACUGACGCUCAGGCACGAAAGCGUGGGUAUCGAACAGGAUUAGAUACCCUUGUAGUC
rnacentral:rRNA from 1 species